UUGCCCUUACGGGGCGCAGCAGUGGGGAAUAUUGGGCAAUGGGCGCAAGCCUGACCCAGCAACGCCGCGUGAAGGAAGAAGGCUUUCGGGUUGUAAACUUCUUUUCUCAGGGACGAAGAAAGUGACGGUACCUGAGGAAUAAGCCACGGCUAACUACGUGCCAGCAGCCGCGGUAAUACGUAGGUGGCAAGCGUUGUCCGGAUUUACUGGGUAUAAAGGGCGUGUAGCCGGGCUGACAAGUCAGAUGUGAAAUCCGGGGGCUCAACCCCCGAACUGCAUUUGAAACUGUUGGUCUUGAGUAUCGG
rnacentral:rRNA from 1 species